rnacentral:rRNA from 1 species
CAGCAGCCGCGGGAAUACAGAGGGUGCGAGCGUUAAUCGGAUUUACUGGGCGUAAAGCGUGCGUAGGCGGCUUCUUAAGUCGGAUGUGAAAUCCCUGAGCUUAACUUAGGAAUUGCAUUCGAUACUGGGAAGCUAGAGUAUGGGAGAGGAUGGUAGAAUUCCAGGUGUAGCGGUGAAAUGCGUAGAGAUCUGGAGGAAUACCGAUGGCGAAGACAGCCAUCUGGCCUAAUACUGACGCUGAGGUACGAAAGCAUGGGGAGCAAACAGGAUUAGAUACCCGAGUAGUCCCUGUCUCUUAUAC